CAUAAACCUACGAGUGGCUACAUAGGCCCUCAAUACUGGAGGAUGUUACAGAUGAUUGAAGUGUUUCCUCACUUGACCUUAUCAGUACUAGGACCAGAUGGGUUUGUGGUGACUUGAGGACAAGGCUUCAGUGGGAGGUUAUAUGAAUCACCGACUCGUAGGCCUGUGAGCUUGAGUUCUAUGUAGGACAAGACUCGGAGUAUAAACAAAAUGCUCCCUCAUCUAAUGGGGACUGAAG